UACGUAGGAGGCGAGCGUUGUCCGGAAUUACUGGGCGUAAAGCGCGCGUAGGUGGCGCAGCACGACAGGUGUGAAAGCCCCCGGCUCAACUGGGGAGGGUCACGCGAUACUGCUCGACUCGAAGGCAGGAGAGGGAAGUGGAAUUCCCGGUGUAGUGGUGAAAUGCGUAGAUAUCGGGAGGAACACCAGUGGCGAAGGCGACUUCCUGGCCUGUUCUUGACGCUGAGGCGCGAAAGCUAGGGUAGCAAACGGG
rnacentral:rRNA from 1 species